GUGGUGCCUUCAAGGCCCAUUUCUUCUUGGGCUGUCAGUUGCUAAGUGCAAACUCCAAGCAGCAUCUUGAAAUUCAUGCAAAUUCAUGAAUAAAUACAAUUUGCUCAUUGGAAGCAUGCCUUCGCCUUUCCCACAAGGCCACCAUCCCCGCGGGCUGUGCUGUGGUCACUCCCCCAGCAUGGGGUGGCCUGCAGCAGGCCCACAGACCCAGAGAACACAGUCCCUUCUCGCACGGCCUGGUCUUCAGCUUCCCUUUUCAGAAUGGAAUGCACACGAAUACACGUCAAGUCCUUCCACGGUGUUUACCCUCAGCCCUGAGAACUCUUCAGAAGAUGAGACCCGGUUAAAUGUUCCCAAUUCUAUCAUCUUUACAAAGCCUUUGGAGUUUUGCUGGAGGACGAGCAGGAGCCAGGAUUACUUAUGAGUAUUAAUAAAA
rnacentral:lncRNA from 1 species